GACGGGGGAUGCAAGUGUUAUCCGGAAUCACUGGGCGUAAAGCGUCUGCAGGUGGUUUCCUAAGUCCACUGUUAAACCUUGAGGCUCAACCUCAAAUCUGCAUUGGAAACUAGGAGACUUGAGUAUAGUAGGGGUAGAGGGAAUUUCCAGUGGAGCGGUGAAAUGCGUAGAUAUUGGAAAGAACACCGAUGGCGAAGGCACUCUACUGGGCUAUUACUGACACUUAGAGACGAAAGCUAGGGGAGCAAAUGGG
rnacentral:rRNA from 1 species